rnacentral:rRNA from 1 species
AUACGUAGGGGGCGGAGCGUUGUCCGGAAUUACUGGGCGUAAAGGGUGCGUAGGUGGCCUUUUAAGUUGGAUGUGAAAUCCCCGAGCUUAACUUGGGUGGUGCAUCUAAUACUGGAGGGCUAGAGUGCAGGAGAGGGAAGCGGAAUUCCUAGUGUAGCGGUGAAAUGCGUAGAUAUUAGGAGGAACACCAGUGGCGAAGGCGGCUUUCUGGACUGUAACUGACACUGAGGCACGAAAGCGUGGGGAGC